CUUGUGUGGGCGGAGCCGGGGAGGUUUGCUCAGGCGUCACCCCUGAGCUUUUGGCAGAUGAACCGCAUCUGAUGAAUGCAGUGCCGGUCGUUGAGGCGUCCGUCCUUGCGCAGUUGUUGUUGUUGUUGUCGGAGGAAAUCAAAUUGAGGGUGUACCUGCUGUCCAUGGAGUACGGAGUCUGGUCCACCCACUCCCACGUUCCAGUUCUCCAAUCACUCAGACCCACCCAGAAAAAAUUAGAACGUGUGUGAUGGGUCACGAAGUCCUGGACAAAGACCAAGUUUCUAUAAUCAACCAUUUAAAGUCUGUCUUUACGCAGAUGAAACUGUAGUUUAUACAAAUGGACUUACCCAGUCCCUGUCCGAGGAGAGUAUGACCAGGUGAGAUUCAUGGUCCUCACACCAGGCUCUGGAAUCAUUCCAGGACAAAGCUGAACGGCUGAAGAAAUAACAACUCAAGCCAGAGAGUUUCCAAUCAGGAGGACAACAACCUUCCAACCCUGAGCCUGCGAGACA